ACGGAAGGCAGCAGUGGGGAAUAUUGCACAAUGGGGGAAACCCUGAUGCAGCGACGCCGCGUGAGUGAUGAAGUAUUUCGGUAUGUAAAGCUCUAUCAGCAGGGAAGAUAAUGACGGUACCUGACUAAGAAGCACCGGCUAAAUACGUGCCAGCAGCCGCGGUAAUACGUAUGGUGCAAGCGUUAUCCGGAUUUACUGGGUGUAAAGGGUGCGUAGGUGGUAUGGCAAGUCAGAAGUGAAAAUCCGGGGCUCAACCCCGGAACUGCUUUUGGAACUGUCUAGCUAGAGUGCAGGAGAGGUAAGCGGAAUUCCUAGUGUAGCGGUGAAAUGCGUAGAUAUUAGGAGGAACACCAGUGGCGAAGGCGGCUUACUGGACUGUAACUGACACUGAGGCUCGAAAGCGUGGGGAGCAAACAGGAUUAGAUACCCUGGUA
rnacentral:rRNA from 1 species